rnacentral:lncRNA from 13 species
AUUGAUUUAGUCAUUGCGUGCUAGGAAUAUGGGACCAAAUACUAAACUUGUGACUACUUUCGUGGGGGGCGACUAGAUCUAUAAAGUACUUUAAUUUCUAAAUGGCAAGUCAGAUAGGUAGGAAAAUACCCUCAAAUAAAAGGUGACAUUCUAUACUCCCUCAUGCGAAACAUCUCAAAUCCAAAAUGCUGGAGUAUACAGUAGAGCCACAUAAAAAUGUUUGCAUCACUGUUUACAUGCACUGGUCAGCUGUUUGUUCACCCGCACCUGCCCUCAAUUAAUAAUCCAUCUGCAACCCUAGCACAACUAUGUGAUAAAGUGAAAAUCUGAGGCCCGCACCCGAACCUAACCCGCUAAUAUAGAAAAUUUGCUGUAGACUACAGUCAAAGACGGCAGAAUUAUUUAUUUUUUGUAUCUUUUUGCCUGAUUUUAGAUAUGUUUUUACGUAUAAUUUCUGAUGUUUUGGUAGGCGAUUUGUCUGUCAACUUGUCUAUAAUUAGAUACAUGCAGCUUCUCCAUUGUCAUUAUGUUGCCCUCUGAGACUAAAUAAACCCUUGCUCAGCAGAAUUUAAAAAGUCGCUAGAAUGAAUACAAUCUCAUUGACAUCUGUAACGUUUUCUCUGUUGUCUCUGCUUCCUUCACGGCUGUAAGAUUAUUUGGGACUGGGGUGAAAAUGCAACAACUCCCCAAAACAAGAACAUUUCCAAAUUAAAUCAGUUUGACCAGAGAAACCACACACACACAAACAGUAUUUGCCAAUAUCAUAAUGGGAACUGGAGCUGGAUGUCUUUGGAGCUGAAGACUGAGGCCAGCUUUUGUAUGCUGGAGUACACUCUUAACAGUUUUACUGGAUGAAACCACAGCAAGAAAACACAUUGGCCAAUAUGUAAUAGUCGUCUAUUUUUUGCAGCAUUGGUGGUGGUUGGUUGAACAAACAUAGGUUUUGUUCUCCAGUAUUCUCUUAGGGAGUGCUUCUUUACUAUUCCCAUGAGGACUGUCACCGGAAAGGUAUACAUUUCACUAAUUGUGGUCGUCACCCAUUUAGCGAGUUUCCCCCUCACUCCUGGCUCUCUCUUGUCCUGUAGCUCCAAGGCAU